UAGGAGGGCUCCAGAGCCAAGCCACGAAGCUCCACAGCCAGGAACAAAAUUCCACCACACCACGGGGCCUGUUCUGGAAUCUCAAACAUAAAAUGACAGAGAUCAAACUCAUCAUUUCUCACCCUAAAGUCCCUGACCUUUGAUCCACCUUCAGCUGCAGCCAGCCUUGGAAUGUGGACCAACCCCUCCUGAAUAACCUCUUCUGAAAACCUGCGGAUUGCAAGAUUCUGUCAACUGUCUGAUCACAAAGCCUGCCUAUCCCAUUCUCCUGUGCUGAGUUCUUUCUAGCUUUGUUUACUCCUCCCUACAAAAGAAAAUUCCCCCUUUUCUGCCUAACCUUUGAGACUUUUGCAAAUCUUUAGUUGGAGCUUUCUCCCUGUUGCAGUAGUUUUCUUCCCCCAUUGCAAUAGUCCUUUUUUAAACAAAUUUCAUUUUUGAGUGUGGUAAAAUAAACAUAAUAUUUACCAUCUUAAUAAUUUUGAAGUAUGCAGUUCAGUAGUAUUUAUAUUUACAUUGUCUUGCAAUCCAGAACUUUUUUAUCUUGCAAAACUGAAGCUCGAUUAAACAAUAAUUCCCCAUUUCCUCCCCUAUCCCAGCCCCUGGUGACUGCCAUUUUACUUUCUGUCUCUAUGAUUUUGACUACUCUAUGUAUCUCAUAUAAAUGGAAUCAUACAGUAUUUGUCUUUCUGUGACUGACUUAUUUCACUUAGCAUAAUGUCCUCAAAGUUCAAUCAUGUUAUAGCAUGUGCCAGAAUUUGCUUCCUUUUAAAGUCUAAAUAAUAUUUCAUUGUAUGAAUAUAUCAGAUUUUGUUUAUCCAUUCAUCAGAUGAUGGGCACUUGUGUUGCUUUCACCUUUUGGCUAUUGUGAAUAAUGCUACUAUAAACAGA
rnacentral:lncRNA from 10 species